rnacentral:rRNA from 1 species
CAUGCGCUGGAAACGCGGGGGCUUGAAGUCAACGAGGGGAUGCCGGGAAUUCCAGGUGUAAGGGGUGAAAAUCUGUAGAUAUCUGAAGAACACCAGUGGCGAAGGCAGGCAUCUGGCGACUGACUGACGCUGAGGCGCGAAGGUGCGGGGAGCAAACAGGUUUAGAUACCCUGGUAGUCCGCACAGUAAACGAUGUGCACCAGGUGGCGGGCAGCAGUGCUCGGUACCGAAGCAAACGCAUUAAGUGCACCGCCUGGGGAGUAUGCCCGCAAGGGUGAAACUCAAAGGAAUUGACGGGGGCCCGCACAAGCGGUGGAGCAUGUGGUUUAAUUCGACGAUACGCGAGAAACCUUACCAGGGCUUGACAUACACCGGAAUAUGGCGGAAACGUCAUAGCUGCUUGCAGUCGGUGAACAGGUGCUGCAUGGCUGUCGUCAGCUCGUGCUGUGAAGUGUUGGGUUAAGUCCCGCAACGAGCGCAACCCCUGCCUUCUGUUACCAUCAUUCAGUUGGGGACUCAGAAGGAACUGCCGGUGACAAACCGGAGGAAGGUGGGGACGACGUCAAGUCAUCAUGGCCCUUACGUCCUGGGCCACACACGUGCUACAAUGGCCGGUACAGAGUGCUGCGAAUCCGGAAGGAGGAGCGAAUCACAAAAAGCCGGUCUCAGUACGGACUGGAGUCUGCAACCCGACUCCACGAAGUUGGAAUCGCUAGUAAUCCCGUAUCAGCAUGACGGGGUGAAUACGUUCCCGGGCCUUGUACACACCGCCCGUCACACCAUCCGAGUUGGGGGUACCCGAAGUCGCUAGUCUGGCCGCAAGGGGGACGGUGCCGAAGGUACGCCUGGUGAGGAGGGUGAAGUCGUAACA